GAUGAAGAACGCAUCGAAAUGCGAUAAGUAAUGUGAAUUGCAGAAUUCAGUGAAUCAUCGAAUCUUUGAACGCACAUUGCGCCCCUUGGUAUUCCGGGGGGCAUGCCUGUUCGAGCGUCAUUAUAACCCCUCAAGCUCAGCUUGGUGUUGGGGCCUGCCGACUGGCAGCCCUUAAAAUCAGUGGCGGCGCCAUCUGGCUCUAAGCGUAGUAAUUUCUCUCGCUAUAGAGUCCCGGUGGAUGCUUGCCAGCAACCCCCAACUUUCUAUGGUUGACCUCGGAUCAGGUAGGGAUACCCGCUGAACUUAAGCAUAUCAAUAAGCGGAGGA
rnacentral:misc_RNA from 1 species